UGAAUUUUUGUGUGAAUUCUUAAAAGAAUUCAGAAGUUCUGAUUGAUUGAUUUAAAAAAAGGUUAGAGCUCUACAAGGAUCUUCCUGGCUUCUCAGCUAGCACUAAAUCACCUGAGCAGCUAGUUGGUAUCCAUUACUGGAAGCAGAGCAACAAUGACAACAGCAGAGACAAUAGUUAACCAACCAAUAGAGAAAAAGUAGCUCUUAGAGAGAGGAAACCCUGGAAAGAAAGAGUCCAUUCACAUGGAUCAGGCUAGGCUCAGUGGAGCCAAGUCUACUUUCUCUAUAAACCCAUUUGGGACUGGCAUGCUAGGGACCAAGUACAGGCAUCCCUCAGAGAUACUGUGAAUUUGGUUCCAGAUUGCUGCAAUAAAGUGAAUUUUGCAAUAAACUCUGCCCCCAAAUAAAGACUUUCAUCCGGAGCUGGCA
rnacentral:lncRNA from 1 species